GACGAACGCUGGCGGCGUGCUUAACACAUGCAAGUCGAACGGAAAGGCCCUGCUUUUGUGGGGUGCUCGAGUGGCGAACGGGUGAGUAACACGUGAGUAACCUGCCCUUGACUUUGGGAUAACUUCAGGAAACUGGGGCUAAUACCGGGUAGGAGCUCCUGCUGCAUGGGGGGGGUUGGAAAGGUUCGGCGGUUGGGGAUGGACUCGCGGCUUAUCAGCUUGUUGGUGGGGUAGUGGCUUACCAAGGCUUUGACGGGUAGCCGGCCUGAGAGGGUGACCGGCCACAUUGGGACUGAGAUACGGCCCAGACUCCUACGGGAGGCAGCAGUGGGGAAUAUUGCACAAUGGGCGGAAGCCUGAUGCAGCAACGCCGCGUGCGGGAUGACGGCCUUCGGGUUGUAAACCGCUUUCGCCUGUGACGAAGCGUGAGUGACGGUAAUGGGUAAAGAAGCACCGGCUAACUACGUG
rnacentral:rRNA from 1 species